rnacentral:rRNA from 1 species
UACGGGGGGAGCAAGCGUUGUUCGGAUUUACUGGGCGUAAAGGGCGCGUAGGCGGUCAGCACAAGUCAGUUGUGAAAUCUCCGAGCUUAACUCGGAAAGGUCAACUGAUACUGUGCGACUAGAGUGCAGAAGGGGCAACUGGAAUUCUCGGUGUAGCGGUGAAAUGCGUAGAUAUCGAGAGGAACACCUGCGGCGAAGGCGGGUUGCUGGGCUGACACUGACGCUGAGGCGCGAAAGCGUGGGUAGCAAACAGG